AAAAACAUGUCUUUUUGUAAAUAAUUUAAGGUUUAAUCUGCCCACUGAUGAAAAUUGAAGGGCUGCAGUAUAUUGACUGUACAAAGGUAGCAUAAUCAAUAGUCUUUUAAUUGAAGACUUGUAUGAAUGAUUUGAUGAAAUAUAAACUGUCUCUGAUUUAAAUAUAGAAUUUAAUUUUUUAGUCAAAAAGCUAAAAUGAUUUUAAAAGACGAGAAGACCCUAUAGAGUUUUAUAUUUAAAUUAUUUAAUAUUUUAUAUAUAAAUUAUAAUAAAAAUUAAUUAAAAUAUUUUAUUGGGGUGAUAGAAAAAUUUAAGAAACUUUUUUUAAAAAAAAUCAUAAAUAAAUGAAAUAAUGAUCCAUAAUUAAUGAUUAAAAGAAAAAAUUACCUUAGGGAUAACAGCGUAAUUUUUUUUUUUAGUUCAAAUAAGAAAAAGAGAUUGCGACCUCGAUGUUGGAUUAAGAUAAAAUUUAAAUGCAAAAGUUUAAAAUUUUGAUCUGUUCGAUCAUUAAAAUCUUACAUGAUC
rnacentral:rRNA from 1 species